ACGUAGGGUGCGAGCGUUAAUCGGAAUUACUGGGCGUAAAGCGUGCGCAGGCGGUUGGUUAAGUCAGACGUGAAAGCCCCGGGCUUAACCUGGGAAUGGCGUUUGAAACUGGCGAGCUGGAGUACGGCAGAGGGGGGUGGAAUUCCACGUGUAGCAGUGAAAUGCGUAGAUAUGUGGAGGAACACCGAUGGCGAAGGCAGCCCCCUGGGCCGAUACUGACGCUCAUGCACGAAAGCGUGGGGAGCAAACAGGAUUAGAUACCCUGGUAGUCCACGCCCUAAACGAUGCGAACUAGUUGUCGGGGAAGCAAUUUCUUGGUAACGCAGCUAACGCGUGAAGUUCGCCGCCUGGGGAGUACGGUCGCAAGAUUA
rnacentral:rRNA from 1 species